AAAGCACCACACCCAACUGGUCCCACUGCAUGUGCCACUUGUGCCAGCCCCAUUGAGGUGGGGAAUCAAGGAAGGAUUGGGAGGAGAAAGGAGCCGAUCGCCAACAGAGAUCGCGUUAAGCAGAAUAUGAUUUACUUUCUGUCCAAUUGUCUUUGAUUUACACGUUUGUGGAAGACAAUAAAAUAACUUCCUUGUGGAAGAAGCAAAACCUGUGUCCAGCGCUCCAUCGAACCCGUUACAGUGGCGCCCAACGUGGGGCGAGCGUACAGAAAUGGACCAGUCCCCAUUGGAAAACGUGCUCGGGCACCUAGCCCAGAUGGCGGAGAGACAAGGCCAGCUCCACCAGGCGCAGAACGAGGCGCUCACGGACCUGGCACAAUCCUUGGCCGCCGAUCGGGCCAUGCUCCGGGAGCUCCUCGCCUCCGGCGGACGCGGCGAAGGGCCCCGGGGGGCGGGACCCGCGACGAGCAUACACGUCCCGAAGAUGGGGGAGGCAGACGACGCGGAAGCCUUCCUCGAGACCUUCCAGGGGGUGGCCGAGGUCUCAGGGUGGCCCCGCCCGGAGUGGGCGCACGUCUCCUGCCGCUCCUAACAGGAGAGGCGCAGCUUGCGGCCCACAGUCUGCCGGCUGGGGCCCAGCGGGACUACGACGCCAUCACCAGGGCCAUCCGAGACCGGCUGGGCCUCUACCCGGAGGAACAUCGCCGGCGUUUUCGGGCGCUGGCCAUCCGUGAGGGCGACCGACCCUUCACCUUCGCCCAGCAGCUGAUGGACCAGGCAAGGAGGUGGCUGGUCCCAGACCGGAACACGGCAGAGGACGUGGUGGAGCAAGUGGCCCUGGAGAGUGAGGUGGGGAAUCCAGGAAGGAUUGGGAGGAGAAAGGAGCCGAUCGCCAACAGAGAUCGCGUUAAGCAGAAUAUGAUUUACGUUCAGU
ensembl:lncRNA